AGCAGGAAGUAGCUAGAUUACAAACGGUUUUGAAGAUGUUUGGAAUAGCUAGCUAGCGAUUCGCAAAUAAGGACCUUACUAACAAAUAUUUAUUUAUUUCACCUUUAUUUAACCAGAAACGGCGUGUUACAGAACUCCUGUCCAAUUUCAUUCCAGAGGAUGAGGUAGCCUUGAUGAAAAAUGGAAGGAAGCUAUAUCAAAACCAUCUGUGAAGGCUGAAUGUGCCUACACUAAUCCUUUCUGUGCCAGGGAUGAAGUGGUUUUAUGUAAAGAAAACUCAACUGAAAAAUGAGAUAUCUUAACGAAACCAUGAAAACUAUGUUCAAGCUGAAGAUAGCUGACAGGAACCCUCUAGUUCUGCCCCCCUGUUGACACAGACACGUAAACUCACCCACCACGCCUUACUGAAGACUGCUAUACAACAUUUGGCACAAAAAGACCAGACUGUGACAUCAGCCCCUCCAGCACAAGACUAUCAUCACCACAUCAAACGUCAGUGAAGACAAUGAUAAGACAUCAUGUCAUUACCCAGUUCCAACAGUAAUACACCAGUCAAUCAGGGAUUGUGUCUAAUUGGGAGAAAUAAGGAAGUGUGUAAGAAGGAGUCAGCCAACGGCGACACAGGAGUCGGAACCUAUGACAGCUCAAAGGAGGAGCAUUACCUUAAAUUGAAAAGUGCGGGACGGCUGCAGGACAGGAGUGACCCGUGGGUAAAGGAUGAGAAUAUGGAAUUUGAUUCAACUGAAGAGGAUCCCUCAUCCCUCCCAUCCUCGCACUGACUCAGAGGGCUGACCAGAUGAGCAGCAGGGACCAGACCUCAACACCAGCACCUUCCCACAAUCCCUAGCCCUUUCCUCAAACCCUGCUGCUGACACAAAGGUCCCAUUUGGACAUACAUCUGUUGACUCAACAAUUAUGAAUGGCACUCUGUUGCAGUAAUGACAACACUAUAAGAGCAGCACUAGAACAUCUUGAACUGCCUCCACGCUUCCUUUGUUUACUCUAUCUCAGGGUAGACACAUUGGUGCUUGAGACAAUGCUUUGACUGUUGUCACCCUGCGAGGGGUGAGAAGGGGGACGAUUCUCAGCACCCUGUGUUAUUCCGUUUGCCCAUUUUAUUUAGGUCCAACACCUCCCCUGUUAAGGCUGAGCUGUGAGCUUACCAUAAAUCAUCAGCAGAUAGGACAAUAUUACUGCUAAUCUUGGUAGUGGAGCCACCGGUUAACAUUCUUCAGAAGGUUCUCAUUCGUGGCUCACCCUUAGACCACUCUAUAUAUUGGAUAACCCCCCUCCCUAGAGAAAGCGAGCGUGCGGACGUAACGUGGGUUAGUUUAAAACGAUGACGUUAAAAUGUGGCAAACUGAGUACCUGAUUAUUAUUUGUGAGCUCAUUGCGUGACUGCCACAAGGCGUUUGGAAUGUUUGUUGACUGCAUCGACACAAGAGCUCAACUGUCUUAUGUGUCAUCAAGGCUGAUGAUGUUAUGGAGUUACAUUGUCAAUGCAAUAAGUCAUGUUGACUCUAUCAUGUUACUUGUACUUUCAGAUGACUAAACAAAACAAUUGUCCUCCACUGCUAACAAUGUCUGUUUGAAUAACCCAGAUACAAGGGAGUAAAAUAAAGCACCACUUAACUUA